rnacentral:lncRNA from 1 species
ACUGUCUAGGAAAGAGUCAAUAUAUCAAAAGAGAGAAAUAAACCCAAAGUGGGAUGGGUAUUAUCAGUCUUUUUUCCUUCUUGAGUUAAUUUUUCUCAUAGGUGUCCAAAUCAUAGCUACAUAUUGGUGACUGAAAAAGAAGUAGGGAAUGUUCAGAUGUAGGCCACAAGAGAAUUGGAAUACAUUAGACAAUGACCAAAAAAAUAUUGGACAUAGAGGAACUAUAAUUCCAACAGGGGCUCUACUGACUCUAUGAAGGAAAAUAAGAAAAAUUUCAGCAUACAGUCUGCUGAAAAGAAUAGGAGUCUUCAGUAUCAAAACUAAAUUCAAGUACUUGCUUCUAAACUUACUAACCAUCUGUGGGACAAAUCACUUCAGUUUUCUCAGCUUCAGCAUCCUCAUUUGUAAAAUGAAGAGGAUAAUAUUUAUAAAAUCUCUCACAGGGUGGUUGAGAAGAAGAUGCUCUAAAUAUUGUAAGUAUUAUUCAAAUAUUAUUAUUAGUAAUAACUAAAUAUUUUCAAAGGGGAUCAUGAUGGAAUAGUUUUCUAAUUAACUGUUUAAUGAUACCAUGGACUUUAAAUACUAUUUGGACACCCUGAUAUUAUUAUUUUUUUAAUAACCCUUAUCUUCCAUCUUGGAGUCAAUACUGUGUAUUGGCUCCAAGGCAGAAGAGUGGUAAAGGCUAGGCAAUGGGGGUCAAGUGACUUGCCCAGGGUCACACAGCUGGGAAGUGUCUGAGGCCAGAUUUGAACCUAGGACCUCCCGUCUCUAGGGCUAUCCCUGAUAUUAUUAAUGUGAAUAUUUUAUAUCUUCAGGAAAAUCCAGGAAAGAGUUAUAAUCUUGUGGUUCAUUGUGUUUGUACAUCUAGCUAAUAUAAAACACCACCAUAUUUCUGAGUAGAUAGACUGUCAGUCCUCAAAAGCAGUUUGAAUGAAAAAUUUCACCUGGAAUAUAGAAAAUAUAAAAAAAAUUGUCAGUGUAUUUUGUAAGUUAUUCUCAGGACCUAUUUUGCAGAAGAACUUAUCAGAUUUUUAUAGCCAGGAUUGAUUCAUAGAAGGAAACCCAAAACAUCUUAAAUCAACAUCUUUGUCUGAAGAAUUAACAACAGGUCUCUGUCCUGUGUUAACAUGAAAAUAAAUCUGUGGUAGGGAAAAUUUAAAAAGUCA